UACGAAGGGGGCUAGCGUUGUUCGGAAUUACUGGGCGUAAAGGGCGCGUAGGCGGUGUGUCAAGUCAGGCGUGAAAGCCCCGGGCUCAACCUGGGAACCGCGCUUGAGACUGGCACGCUCGAGUUCGGGAGAGGAUGGUGGAAUUCCCAGUGUAGAGGUGAAAUUCGUAGAUAUUGGGAAGAACACCGAUGGCGAAGGCAGCCAUCUGGACCGACACUGACGCUGAGGCGCGAAAGCGUGGGAAGCAAACAGG
rnacentral:rRNA from 1 species